GACGAACGCUGGCGGCGUGCUUAACACAUGCAAGUCGAACGAAGUGGCGAACGGGUGAGUAAUACGUGGGUAACCUGCCCUCCUUUUUGGGAUAAGCCUUUGAAACGGGGUCUAAUACCCAAUACAGGGGGUUGGGCUCGCGGCCUAUCAGUUUGUUGGUGGGGUGAUGGCCUCCCAAGGCGGUGACGGGUAGCCGGCCUGACAGGGUGACCGGCCACAUGGGUACUGAGAUAAGGCCCAGAGUACGACGGGAGGCGGCAGUGGGGGAGAUUGCACAAUGGGCGAAAGCCUGAUGCAGCGACGCCGCGUGGGGGAUGAAGGUUUUCGGGUUGUAAACCUCUGUCGCUAUCGAACGGGUAGGUGCAGAAGAAGCACCGGCUAACUACGUGCCAGCAGCCGCGGUAAUAC
rnacentral:rRNA from 1 species